ACUUUCCUAACGAGUGCCAAAUAGGACGAAACCCGGGUCGGCGGAU
rnacentral:hammerhead_ribozyme from 1 species